rnacentral:rRNA from 1 species
UACGGAGGGAGCUAGCGUUGUUCGGAAUUACUGGGCGUAAAGCGCGCGUAGGCGGCUUUGUAAGUUAGAGGUGAAAGCCCGGGGCUCAACCCCGGAAUUGCCUUUAAGACUGCAUCGCUUGAAUCCGGGAGAGGUGAGUGGAAUUCCUAGUGUAGAGGUGAAAUUCGUAGAUAUUAGGAAGAACACCAGUGGCGAAGGCGGCUCACUGGCCCGGUACUGACGCUGAGGCGCGAAAGCGUGGGGAGCAAACAGG